GUUAGGAAUAUUGGACAAUGGGCGCAAGCCUGAUCCAGCCAUGCCGCGUGAACGAUGAAGGCCUUCGGGUUGUAAAGUUCUUUAGCCGAUGAUUAUAAUGACUGUAGUCGGAAAAUAAGCCCCGGCUAACUUCGUGCCAGCAGCCGCGGUAAUACGAAGGGGGCGAGCGUUAUUCGGAAUCACUGGGCGUAAAGCGUGAGUAGGCGGUGUCGUAAGUUAGGAGUGAAAGCCCAGGGCUCAACCUUGGAAUUGCUCUUAAAACUGCAAGGCUAGAAUCUCGGAGAGGAUAGCGGAAUUUCCAGUGUAGCAGUGAAAUGCGUAGAUAUUGGAAGGAACACCAGUGGCGUAAGCGGCUAUCUGGACGAGUAUUGACGCUGAGGCACGAAAGCGUGGGGAUCAAACAGGAUUAGAAACCCGAGUAGUCC
rnacentral:rRNA from 1 species